rnacentral:piRNA from 1 species
UGAGCACCAUGUGCAAACCAGGUAC